CUGUCACAACCGAGAAGGCCUAGCUGGUGUCAAGCUCCACAGGUUCCCGUCGCGGCCCUGGGAACAAGCACGCCGCCAGCGAUGGAUAAAUGCCGUAAGGCGUGUAAACGAUGACGGUUCAAACUGGAGUCCGAACGAGAGCUCCAGGAUAUGCUCAACUCAUUUCCUGAACAACGAACUCAGCAAUAUCGAGAACCACCCUGGUUACUACCCAACGCUGUUCCCAGAAGUGUACCGGAAGAAGUCUGUGGAUCCUGAGGCUCAACUUGGAAGGUUCAGCAGGUGGCAGGAGCGAUCAGCAUGUUCAGGUGCCUCAGCUGCAGGUUCUUCAGGACUACCAUCUACAGGUGGUACCAGCCCAGUGCCUUCUGAGCAUGAUUCAGAUUCCAGUGGAAGCCCACAACGGGGGUUGGAGCUGCUGUGUGAAGCUGUAGAACUUCGAGAGAAGUGUUCAG